CCUACGGGAGGCAGCAGUGGGGAAUAUUGCACAAUGGGGGAAACCCUGAUGCAGCGACGCCGCGUGAGUGAAGACGGAUUUCGGAUUGUAAAGCUCUAUCAUCAGGGAAGAAAAUGACGGUACCUGACUAAGAAGCCCCGGCUAACUACGUGCCAGCAGCCGCGGUAAUACGUAGGGGGCAAGCGUUAUCCGGAUUUACUGGGUGUAAAGGGAGCGUAGACGGCAGAGCAAGUCUGAAGUGAAAGCCCCCGGCCUAACUGCGGGACUGCCAUUGAAACUGGUCGUCUAGAGUUCAGGAGAGGUAAGUGGAAUUCCUAGUGUAGCGGUGAAAUGCGUAGAUAUUAGGAGGAACACCAGUGGCGAAGGCGACUUUCUGGACAGUAACUGACGUUGAGGCUCGAAAGCGUGGGGAGCAAACAGGAUUAGAUACCCUGGUAGUC
rnacentral:rRNA from 1 species